rnacentral:rRNA from 1 species
UACGAAGGGGGCUAGCGUUGCUCGGAAUCACUGGGCGUAAAGGGUGCGUAGGCGGACUUUUAAGUCAGGGGUGAAAGCCUGAGGCUCAACCUCAGAACUGCCUUUGAUACUGAGAGUCUCGAGACCGGAAGAGGUAAGUGGAACUGCGAGUGUAGAGGUGAAAUUCGUAGAUAUUCGCAAGAACACCAGUGGCGAAGGCGGCUUACUGGUCCGGUUCUGACGCUGAGGCACGAAAGCGUGGGGAGCAAACAGG